AGGAAACGCGCGCGCUGCGGUUGGUUGCGGCGCCAGCGUCACGCCGGUUGGGCCGUGGGCGUCAGCCCCGAGGGAAUCGCGUGCGCGCGCCGAGACUUCGGCUUCGGCCGGCCCGCCUCGCCCUCGCGCCACCUCCGCCAUCGGCGCCCCCAACGUGUCGCGCGGCGAUACCCACGCGUCGCGCGCGCCGGGACCGCGGCCUCCCAACCCAUACCGCCGCGCCCGCGCCUCCAUAUAUACCCCUCCCGGUGCCUCCCCCACUCUCACCACCGCUAAGCGAUAAGCAGCCUGCACUCCCCACCUCUCUGAUUGACAGACCACCUUAGCUCAGCAGCUAAGCCAGCCUCGCAUCUCUCUCUGCAAUGGCAUCUCGCGCUGCCGUGGUGGUCGUGGCCGUGACCGCGCUGCUGUUCGCGGCGGCGUCCGCGCAGGAGAUGGACGCGAGCAUGCCGCCGGCGCCGGCCCCGGUCACGGGCGCGGCCGCUGGGGCCGCCGCGUCGGCGCUGGCCGUCGCCUGCUCCGCCGUGCUGUCCCUGCUCGUCGCGGGCGGGCUCGCGCAGUAGGCGGUGAGCUGCUGCUGCUGGUGGUGGUGCGUCGCCGCUCGUCCGGCCUCCGGCGACGGCGAUGCUCACUUCUCGAGUUUAGGGGGAGCAGUAGUACCGAGUAGUGAUGGGUUGUGUUGUGUUCGUCUUGAGUGGAGCGUGACUUUCUCCGUUGCUUAUUCUUUUGUAUCAUACAUUGCUGCGUGUAUUAUUUCCGUCUCGUGUGUCGUCGGUUCUUCUAUGACUAUGAAUAAAUAUUGGAUGGUGGUUCUAUCUCUACAUCUACGGUGCCGAAUCGUUCUCUCGUGUGCUGUUCUGUUCAUCUUCUCUUCAAUGUUUGCAUUCGAGUUCUUAUUUUCUUUGCUCGACUAGCCCCCAUCUGCCUAUGUUCAUAGGCAACUAACCUGAAGACAGCAAACUGUUACCCGUAGUAGUAGUACCAUCUGGGACUAGGAGUUCCUAAACUUAUUGGUCCGCUCGAUGUUCUGCAGCUCGUUUAUUUCCGCGCUUAUAAAUUUGUCUCCUGUCUCUGCUGCGAGAAUCAAGCUGGGGCUGUCUAGCUGUUACCUGAAUCAAGCACACAUUCUUCCUCACGAUCGACCGAUUGCACACGUAGGAAGAUACAUGGUCCGGUUACAGCCUUGGCAUGGAAGAAGGUAGGUAGGUGAGAUACAGACGAAAGCAAGGCACGUGUGAGUUUUUUUUUUUUUGAGGGAACAAGGCACGUGUGAGUUACAAGACGCUUUCAGUGUUUCCCUGUUAGAUUUAGACAAUUCUCAUUGAUUGAUUACCUCCCAGUAAUCUCGUCCACGAAAGGCAGCAAUGGGGAAAUGAACCGAGCUAUCUACUUGAUAUCUCAAACAACUUACAGCCUUCUUAGGUCCAACAAGGCAAAGUUGCGCAAUUCGUGUAAAUAUCUAAUACUCAAUCUGUAAAGAAAUAUAAGAGUGUUUAGAUCACUAUCUUAUACUCUCCCUCUGUCCCAUAAUAACGCUCAUAUAUUAUGGGAUACUCUCCCUCUGUCCCAUAAUAACGCUCAUAUAUUAUGGAACGGAGUGAGUAUUUCUUUGCGGAGAGAGUACAUGGACCUGCCCUGCGAGUACCACCGAGACCUUGCAGGUUUCAACUCGUGGGCCAAAGCAUAAAUUCACGUAUAGAAGGAUCUGCGUUGCACUGUUCUACCUGUAUAGCCUGAACAAAUUAUUUACUCCAUGGACGAGAAACGGACAGGAUGUACCACUACGAGUAUAUACAGUGCCUUCCAUACACAGGCAAAGGUAACGGCGUGAAGUUCUGAUGUUCGACAGGAGAACUCCUAGCCCAAAGACAACACAACGAUCGUUCAUGACAAGGAACCCGUGAUGACCUGAGGCAUGACAUCUCCGCUGUCGUUAGGUUUACAGUUCUCCUUUUUGGAGAUUUACGGCAGCAGACUGAAGUUUCUGCAUUCAGCAGGAAGGAGUAAGAAGCACGAAAGUCUUGAGAAGACAUGAUCAAACGUCAGGAACCCUCUGCUUUUACAGCAGCCGACUACCUGUGGAUUAUAUAAGUUGGCAGCAACCACCAGCCGGAGAGAAAGUUAUGGUGGCUCCCUAAGUAAGUACUUCUCUUCUCAACUGCUUCCCUUCUGGAUGUUUCGAAUGUUCGGUGGAAAACAAAAUUCAGAAAUGCAUGGUCAGAGAAUCGCAGCCUCAAGUUUCUCUAUAGAAGAGUGGAAUUGAUGUCUUACCUACAGAUGUAACCGGCUGAGCAAGUACGCCAACCUGCAUGUUGGAACAGAAUUUUUCCAUCAGAUAGCAAGCAGAAUUUUUCUUACUUUGAGACUUGGAGACUUUGUUACUGGAUUAUUUUUAAUAAUAUGAGCUGUAUGCAUCUUUCUGAUGCAAAGGCUGGGGUAAAACCCCUUUUCAAAAAAAAAAGAUAGCAAGCAGAGGUUACACAUCAGAAUUUCCCAUCAGAAAGCAAGCAGAGGUUAUACAAUGAGAAGACUAAUAUAGAGUACCAACCCGAUAUUUCUUGCAUGCUCCAUACUUCCAUUGUCGGCAUGAAAAUGAAGCACUGCCACCGUUGCCGGCUCCUCCAAACGCCCAUCGGUGUAGGCAUGCUGGAGAACAUACAGUACUGCACGGGUCAAACAGAAGAAGCGAAGGCGUAGGAAAACAGACAAUUGACUAUACAUAGAAAUAAAGGAGAAGAGAACCACUAUAUAUGUUACUCCCUCCAAUCCAAAUUAAUUGUCGCAGCCUCUAUACAAUGUAUAGAGGACAUUGUAUAGAGGCUACGUCAAUUAAUUCGGAUCGGAGAGGGUAUUAGUAUUUAUUUUGUACAGUUCAUUAAAUGAGUCAAGUUACAAUGGUUAUAUUCCAAGGCUAUCUGACAGUCCCUAUUUUACAAAGCAUGGCUUUGAUGAACACACCAUUCAGCUUCUCUUCUCAACUUUCCACGUCACCUCAGCUAGCACUGAUUGCAGAAAACUUAAUUAUUGCCGGUCCUAUGUAGAGGCGCUAGUUCAAAGUUCAAACUACGACGAAUUAUUUGCACAACUUAUCAUCAGCAGUUAUGAAGUUACUGCCAUUAGUACUUUAGUUAGGCUUCAUUCAGAACUACUGCUACACAUAAGUAUGAGAUGGAAACAACAGGCAAAAUAUCACUCUGGGGCACUAGUCAAGUUUCAGUUGAUAAUUCACGCAUUAUAUAAGAUGUACUCCCUCCGUCACAUAAUGUAAGACGUUUUUUGACUCUAGUGUAGCGUCAAAAAACGUCUUACAUUAUGAGACGGAGGGAGUAUAUGUGAUGAUAGAUUUAAAUCUGAAACAAGAUCAGCAUAUGUAUACCUUGUAGAAACAUCGACUGCCAAAGGGGCAAGUGUCCCUUCCAAAGUCAAAGUACCUACAAUCAAUCGACCUACAAUAACAUAUUUGUGGCUUAGACAAAUGUAACAUGAAUCGACAUCUACUCUGAAGAACAUAUAAAUGAAAUUUUCUCUGGGGUACUAUUAACUUAACGAUCAUAUAGUGAGAUGCAUGCAACCAUUAGAUCACAUAAGGACAGGCCUCAUGGUAAGACUAAAUGAAGAAUAAGGUAUCUUACUUGAGCUUGGCCUUGUAACCGUCAAUUAUAUCCUGUUUUUCCUCCUUCGAGGAGUACCAUGUAGCACUAGGAAUGACAUAGUACGAGACUUUGCGGCAUAUUGGACAAGCCUUGACUGUAGAGUCGAUAUCCAUAGAAGACGUAAGAGAGCUGCUGCGCCACUUCCUAAUGCAUGUGAUACAGAAGGCAUGGUCACAUUCAGGUAGAAGCCCAAACCUCUUUUCCGCUGCUGUGGGCUUUGAAAGCACACGGUCCAAACAUACACUACAUUCUAUCUCUUCACUUUUUUUCAAGGCCUCAAGACGUUUGUUGUUUCUUUUGCAGAGCUUGAUAUGAGCCCCACCUUCGCUGGGACGGUAGGGAUGCAAGCACUGUUUUCCACAGGUUGUGCAUAGAUCCCCAUGCAUCUGAGGGCACUUCUUCCCAUAGGGACAAGUUCCAGCUGCAGCAAAAGAGCAUAUGGGCAGAUGAGCAAGUGGGUGGGGCGCUUGGUUUUGUGCAGUUAGUGCUGAUGACAUUGACAAGCUGUUCCCAUCCUCUGGAAUGCUAUCUUCAUCAUCAAAUCUCCAGGUAGAUUGAUGCACAGAGCAUGCCGAUAAACUUUUUUGUGUCUGGUUGCUCACAUCUAUUUCCCCCUCACAAAGAGGACACCAAGACCGAUAAGAGUUGAAUGGUGCGAGUGCUGCAGUAGUUGAUGGUGGGGUGUAUUCAGAAGAAACUUCAACAUGUUCAUAUCUGCAACGACUGCCAUAAGAGCACACACCGUUCUGGUAAAAUGUGCAAACCUGCGUGAAUAAGCAUCACGAUGAUGAGCACUAGACUGUUAUUGCAAGUCAGGCUAUGAAGGUAAAUUGACCAGAAGAUUACUAAAUAUGUAAAUUAAUAUGUUACAUCAUUUGGUUGAUCAUUCCAGUCAUGGGAGAAUUGACAGUAGUCUCCUUUAAAGCAAGCACCAUUCACAAAGAACUUGCAAAUGGACCUGAUGGACAUACAAAGCAACAAACAAACCUGUAAGUGAUUCCACCUAUAUUAAAAGAUUCUCAUCAAAGUACAAAAAAAAAACAAAUCAGAAAGGGAGCUGGGAAAAUGCUAGUUGAAAACUACACUUCCAUACGCCGCCACACAAUGCUGAUACGCAGUACUCCUCAGUCCUCAAUAGACUCCUAAGCCAGAUAAGAACAUAUCACUAUGCCAGGAAUCAUGGUGAUCAGUUGCUCGUGCAUCAUCAUUCAAACAAACAUAGUAUCUCACGGUCUCAUGUAUUCAGGACUUGCUAUUUGUGCAGAGCCUAGUAUAUUCUUUUCGCUACUACUCCCUCCGUUCCAAAAUAUAAGUCUUUGUAGAGAUUUCACUAUGAACCACAUACGGAUGUAUAUAGAUGCAUUUUAGACUAUAGAUUCACUCAUUUUGCUCCGUAUGUAGUCCAUAGUGCAAUCCCUACAAAGACUUAUAUUUAGGAACGGAGGGAGUACAUAAUUGCUGCCUUAUCAUUUUGAUCUCACUUAUUUAUAAGGAAUUCAGACAUUAAUUGCCAACACCAUCAUUCCCUUCUGUCAACCAUCCCCUUCAUAAGUCACCAGUAGGAGACUGUACGUGCCGUGACCACUGUCCUAUUUCUACAUAAGUCACCAUCCCCUUCAUUUUCGCCAACUAAAUUGCAACCAGGUGCUAAAUUGUAGGCGCGGUACCAUUGCAUUUGUACCAGCACCUGAUCGGCAAUAAAAACCUGGGCGGUUCGACAGAAGACCCAAUCAACGCAUAGUGAUUCACAGUAUACCACCAGCACAGCCACAACCAUACUAGGUUAGCGAUGACCCCUCGGAGUUCAAAUCGGCCACAUCGGUGGCCAGAGACUUACUGAAAUCUGAAAUUGCAUGCUCUGUCACGCCAGCUCCAGCUCGAUUACCUCAGAUCACACACAGAAAAAAAAAACAGCAACCUCACUCAAAUCAUGGCCUCCUCCUGACCGCACUACGAAGGUAAAGCACAGUAAACUAAAUCCAACCCAAAAUCGCCACGCUCGUCAUGGGCACCGAUUCCACCUCCAAGCUCAACGACACCGCCCAAACCAGCUCGAAUCAUCGGCCGCGGGGCCCCGGAGCGAGCGAGCCAGGGAAGCGGAGAAAACGCGGUACCUGUUCGACAUGGCCGCCUGGCGGGGUCAGACCCGGCGGAAUCGAGCCGAGCCGAGCAACCGAGCCGUGCGGAGCCUGCCCGCCGGGGGGUUGUGGCGCCCGCCGUACGCCUAGGGUUUGCCCGCUGCCGCGCCGCGCUUCGCUCCCUUGCGUCCCCUUCGCGCUUCCGCAGCUCCGCUUUGCUUUGGGUGGUGGUGCCGCUGCGGCCCAGCGGGGGAUGUUUUUUUCCCUAUAAACGGGAGGGGGAGAGGGACGGGCGGGGCGGGUGGUGACGGUUCUGCCCUGGAGCUUGGCGGGGAAGGGGGCCGACGGUUGGGGGCAGGAUGGUCAAAAACAAGGACGCGGGGAAGCGAGGAGGGCGUGGCGCUACGCUCCCGCCGGAUUGCGUGGGCAACCGCUUUUUUCCGGAGGCAGCGGCGAACGUGACGUCGUGGGCUGCCCGCGAUAAGGAAGCGUGAUUAUUAUAGUGGGAUGGAAGGAAACGCGCGCCGUUCUCUCUUUGGUGUUUUAUAAAGGAAAAAAGACAAAGGUGAAAGAUUUCCAUUAAUUAAGACGAAGAGGAGAGUUGCAAGUUAAUUACUCCAUUUGUUUCUAAAUAUAAAUCUUUUUAAAGAUUUCAAUAAGAGACUAAAUACGGAUUAAAAUGAGUGAAUCUACACUCUAAAAUAUGUCUAUAUACAUCCGUAUGUAAUUUAUAUUGAAAUCUCUAAGAAACUUAUAUUUACAAACGGUGGGAGUAAUGGAAAAUCGAGUGAAAACUGUCAUAAUCAUUGAGCGGCGCGUAUAAUAUAGCCCACACACAUCAUUGCGGAGAAAAGCCUCGUCGAGGUAGCAUAUUGGCAUCAUCUUCAUCACUUUUCCCUAACCAAGCAUCAUCCCAUCCCUUUCCUCCAAGCAAGUGACUCUGAUUUCGCCGCAAUCGAUCAUUGAACCAGUCGACACCAAAGAGGCCGUCGAAGCCAAAUGAAGCUCCAUGCCAAACACUCAACCACCCACGAUUGGGACAUCGGAAUUCCCAUUCUGACGGAGAAUUGCGAAGAAGAACUAUGCAAGAUUGGCGCACAUAAAAUCAUCGAAUACACCACCUCUUGCAUGUAAUCGUCACCACCAAGGUCCCGCCGCCGCAACUUCAAAUUUACCGCAACAAACAACCGGAGACAAUCCCGUAGACACGUGAGAGAAGAGCUGACUACUGCAACCAUUGUCGCGACCCCAACAUCGCUCACCCCCACAGUCGCUGCCACAUAAUCCUCGACACCAUCACCAUCGUCUUCCAUUGGUCGCUAAUGCAAAAACCCGCAACAUCCUCACUCAUCCACUGAUCCACCAACCAGCGACCACUCCAAGAGCGAUGCCCCCAAAAGGAAGCAUGACGCAUAGCACCACCAUCUUCUGAUCCAAAUGAGAUAUAAGGUUUUCCCCAAAGUGGUCCAUGCAAAGGCGAGCACCACGCCUCAAUGAUGUAUCCAAGAAGAAAGUGGUCCUCAGAGGCAUUGACGCCGCCAGCCUCGACUAAGAGCCAAAGGCAAAGAUUUCACCCGGUGCUUCCUCACUUUCCGCCCGUCCAAGCCAUGGAACCAGUCGGGCAACCAAACUGCCCUCCAGCAACACCACGCAAGGUACGUCGCCCACGCUGAACAGCUACCAAGGCUCCUCCCCAUCCACCAACAACGUCUUGUCCAAAUAUGCUUCCCUGGCACACUACCUCUAGAUCCAUGCGCGUGCGUAGUGACACCCUCCACGACCACUUGUCGAAUCCCAAGCACCUUAGACCGUUGGACCACCAUGCCACGCAACCAUAGCCAACUCGCCAUAGAAUUCAAGUGGUUCCCCCACGAUAAGAGCCUUAGAGGCACUCUAGGUCUAUCUUAGGGGUGCGUGAGUGCAAGUUCAUCGGGUGUCUAUCUGGGGUGCCGGGGGUGUAGGUUCGCUGGAGAAUUCGGGUGGUUCACCGCCUUCAGAGGGAUGACUGGUGCGGGGCAAGCCCAAUGGUGGGAGGAGGGCAAGGCAGUCAUGGGAGCGCCGCCAGCCGGGGGCAGCAAAGGUAGAUGGUUCGGCUCUGCGGGGACAAUAGUAACUGCUGGAGGAAGAAGGAAUAGGAGUUGUUGGAGUGUCAUCUGAUGGUGCUGACAGAUCAACUAUCCACGAACUGUUUUUCUUGCCCCUAGGAUCAGCAAACAUCUUUUUUUCGAGGGGUACGCGUACCUAAGCUUUAUAGAAGAAGGAAAUAUUUACAAGAAGAGUUUUCAGGCUCGCGCCACACUCCGGCGGAAACCAACAAUAUCCCUACACCCACACUACCCGACUACUCACACAACUAAUGUACACUCCGAGCUCCUGCCGCUAACCAAGGUCGCAACUCGUGCUAAAUCCUUGUCGAUAGCUCCCAUUCAUUGAUUGUGUCUCUUCCUCCAAAUACUCGCCCAUUACGUUGCUUUCAAAUACUCCAACAAAUCAACAUGACCAAAGAGUCAAACCCCUUUUGAACACCCUUUGGCAUGCUCUUUCGGGAUCUGGGCCACCAGUCUUGCAACCGCUCUGAGGUCAAAGGCACAAGCUCCAGGUCUAUAUUGGCCCACCUGAAGCAUUGGACCCACACCUGCCUCGAGUAGACGCACUGUAGCAUAAUAUGAUCAACCGAAUCCUCCUCCUGAUCACACAGAAAGCAGACCGACGUGGCAUCUUGCAACCCAUGUCAAAAUCGUUUGUCAGAAGUCCAAAGUCUGUGCUCCAGGGCCAGCCACAUGAACAAUCUACAUGCCAGGGGGGCCCAACACUUCCGCAGCCCCUUAGCGCAUCCAAGUUUAAUAGCUCCCUCGUUCAUGAUCCGGUACGCCGAGGCUGCCGAGUACUGGCCCGCGGCAUUCCACUUCCAUAUGGCAUGAUCACCCAUGUUUGGAUCCAAGUUCAGCUCGCUAAGGGUCUCCCAUAGGUGAAUAAACUGCAUCAGCCCAUCUGUGGAGAACUCCCCCUUGAUAUCGUUGAUCCAAUUGCCUAAGAAGAGCCCCUCCCUCACCGAUCUUCUGUUCACCGUCUGGGUUCUAACCUUUGCUACGUCUUGAGUUUGCGUUGGUUUUUCUUGAAGAGGAAAGGGUGAUGCAGCAAUAGUAGCGUAAGUAUUUCCCUCGGUUUUUGAGAACCAAGGUAUCAAUCCAGUAGGAGGCUCCUCAAAAGUCCCACGCACCUACACAAACAAACAAAGAACUCGCAACCAACGCAAUAAAGGGGUUGUCAAUCCCUUCACGACCACUUGCGAAAGUGAGAUCUGAUAGAGAUAAUAUGAUAAGAUAAAUAUAUUUUUGGUAUUUUAUAAUAUAGAUAGGAAAAGUAAAGAUGCAAAUAAAAGUAGAUUGAAAGCUUAUAUGAUAAAAGAUAGACCCGGGUGCCAUAGGUUUCACUAGUGGCUUCUCUCAAGAUAGCAUAAGUAUUACGGUGGGUGAACAAAUUACUGUCGAGCAAUUGAUAGAAAAGCGAAUAAUUAUGAGAUUAUCUAGGCAUGAUCAUGUAUAUAGGCAUCACGUUCGUGACAAGUAGACCAACUCCUGCCUGCAUCUACUACUAUUACUCCACACAUCGAGCGCUAUCCAGCAUGCAUCUAGAGUAUUAAGUUCAUAAAGAACAGAGUAACACAUUAAGAAAGAUGACAUGAUGUAGAGGGAUAAACUCAUGCAAUAUGAUAUAAACCCCAUCUUUUUAUCCUCGAUGGCAACAAUACAAUACGUGCCUUGCUGCCCCUGCUGUCACUGGGAAAGGACACCGCAAGAUUGAACCCAAAGCUAAGCACUUCUUCCAUUGCAAGAAAGAUCAAUCUAGUAGGUCGAACCAAACUGAUAAUUCAAAGAGACUUGCAAAGAUAACUCAAUCACACAUAAAAGAAUUCAGAGGAGAUUCAAAUAUUUCUCAUAGAUAAACUUGAUCAUAAACCCACAAUUCAUCGGAUCUCGACAAACACACCGCAAAAAGAGUUACAUCGAAUAGAUCUCCAAGAAGAUCAAGAAGAACAUGGUAUUGAGAUCCAAAGAGAGAGAAGAAGCCAUCUAGCUAAUAACUAUGGACCCAAAGGUCUGUGGUAAACUACUCACAACUCAUCGGAGGAGCUAUGGUGUUGAUGUAGAAGCCCUCUGUGGUCGAUUCCCCCUCUGGCGGAGCACCGGUGAAGGCUCCAAGAUGGGAUCUUGCGGAUACAAAAGGUUACGACGGUGGAAAUAGGUUUUCAUGGCUUGUUCUGAUGUUCUCGGGGUACGUGGGUAUAUAUAGGAGGAAGAAGUAGGUCGGUGGCCGCCCGAGGGGCCCACGAGAUAGGGGGGUGCGCCCUCCACCCUCGUGGUCGCCUUGACUGCUUCUUGACUUGCACUCUAAGUCCUCUGGAUCACGUUCGUUCCAAAAAUCACGCUCCCGAAGGUUUUAUUCCGUUUGGACUCCGUUUGGUAUUCCUUUUCUUCGAAAUACUGAAAUAGGCAAAAAAACAGCAAUACGGGCUGGGCCUCCUGUUAGUAGGUUAGUCCCAAAAAUGAUAUAAAAGUGUAAAAUAAAACCCAUAAACAUCCAAAAUGGGUAAUAUAAUAGCAUGGAACAAUCAAAAAUUAUAUAUACGUUGGAGACGUAUCAAGCAUCCCCAAGCUUAAUUCUUGCUCGUCCUCGAGUAGGUAAAUGAUAAAAACAGAAUUUUUGAUGUGGAAUGCUACCUAGCAUAAUUCUCAAUGUAAUUUUCUUUAUUGUGGCAUGAUUGUUCAGAUCCAAAUGAUUCAAGAUAAAAGCUUAUAAAACAAAAAAAUAAUAAUACUUCGAAGCAUACUAACAAAUAAUCAUGUCCUAUCAAAAUAGCAUAGCCAAAGAAAGCUUAUCCCUACAAAAUCAUAUAGUUAGGCCAUGCUUCAUUUUCAUUACACAAAAUACUCCCAUCAUGCACAACCCCGGUUUCAGCCAAGCAAUUGGUUCAUACUUUUUAACGCGCUUCGGCUUUUUCAACUCUUACGCAAUACAUGAACGCAAGCCAUGGACAUAGCACUAUGGUGGUGUAUGGUGGUGGUUGUGAGGACAAAAAGGGAGAAGAUAAUCUCACAUCAACUAGGCGUAUCAACGGGCUAUGGAGAUGCCCAUCAGUAGAUAUCAAUGUGAGUGAGUAGGGAUUGCCAUGCAACGGAUGCACUAGAGCUAUAAAUAUAUGAAAGCUCAACAAAAGAAACUAAGUGGGUGUGCAUCCAACUUGCUUGCUCACGAAGACCUAGGGCAUUUUGAGGAAGCCCAUCAUUGGAAUAUACAAGUCAAGUUCUAUAAUGAAAAAUUCCCACUAGUAUAUGAAAGUGACAACACAAGAGACUCUUUAUCAUGAAGAUCACGGUGCUAUUUUGAAGCACAAGUGUGGAAAAGAGAUAGUAGCAUUGUCCCUUCUCUCUUUUUCUCUCAUUUUUUUAUUUGACCUUUCUAUUUUUUUGGCCUUUCUUUUUUAUUUGGUGGGCUCUUUGGCCUCUCUUUUUUAUUUUAAAGUCCAAAGUCUGAUCCCGACUUGUGGGGGAAUCAUAGUCUUCAUCAUCCUUUCCUUACUUGAGACAAUGCUCAAAUAAUGAAGAUCAUCACACUUUUAUUAAUUUACAACUCAACACUUAGAACAAAAUAUGACUCUAUAUGAAUGCCUCCGGCGGUGUACCGGGAUAUGCAAUGAAUCAAGAGUGACAUGUAUGAAAAUUAUGAGGGUGGCCUUGCCACAAAUACAAUGUCAACUACAUGAUCAUGCAAAGAGCAAUAUGACAAUGAUGAAGCGUGUCAUAAUAACGGAAUGGUGAAAAGUUGCAUGGCAAUAUAUCUCAGAACGGCUAUGGAAAUGCCAUAAUAGGUAGGUAUGGUGGCUGUUUUGAGGAAGGUAAAUAAUGGGUGUAUGAUACCCGCGAAAGUUGCGCGGCACAAUAGAGGCUAGCAAAGUGGAAGGGUGAGUGUGCGUAUAUCCAUGGACUCACAUUAGUCAUAAAGAACUCAUAUACUUAUUGCAAAAGUCUACUUGCCCUCGAAGCAAAGUACUACUACGCAUGCUCCUAGGGGAAGGGUUGGUAGGAGUUAACCAUCGCGCGAUCCCGACCUCCACUCAUAAGGAAGACAAUUAAAAGAGCACCUCAUGCAACAAAUUUGUCACACAACUUUUACCAUACGUGCAUGCUACGGGACUUGCCAACUUCAACACAAGUAUUUCUCGAUUUCAUAAUUACCCACUAGCAUGACUCUAAUAUUACCACCUUUAUAUCUCAAAACAAUUAUCAAGCAUCAAAUUGAUCCUAGUGUUUAAUGCACUUUCUAUGAUAGUUUUUAUUAUACCCAACUUGGAUGCUCAUCAUUCUAGGACCAAAUUCAUAACCAUAAUAAAUACCAUGCUGUUCUAAAAGACUCUCAAAAUAAUAUAAGUGAAGCAUGAGAGAUCAAAAAUUUCUUCAAAAUUAAGCCACCGCCGUGCUCUAAAAGAUAUAAGUGAAGUACUAGAGCAAAAACUAUCUAGCUCAAAAGAUAUAAGUGAAGCACAUAGCGUAUUUUAAUAAAUUCUAAUCAAGUGGGCUUCUCCCAAAAGGUGUGUACAGAAAGGAUGAUUUUGGUAAACUAAAAGGCAAAUACUAAUAUAAUACAAGACGCUCCAAGCAAAACACAUAUCAUGUGGCGAAUAAAAAUAUAGCUCCAAGUAAAGUUACCGAUAAACGAACACGAAAGAGGGGAUGCCUUUCGGGGGCAUCCCCAAGCUUAGGCUUUUGGCUAUUCUUGAAUAUCUUGGGGUUACAUGGGCAUCCCCAAGCUUAGACUCUUGCCACUCCUUAUUCCAUAGUCCAUCAAAUCUUUAUCCAAAACUUGAAAACUUCACAACACAAAACUCAACAGGAAAUCUCAUAAGCUUCGUUAGUGAAAGAAAGAAAAACCACCACAUAAGCUACUGUAAUAAACUCAUUAUUUAUUUAUAUUGGUGUUAAACCUACUGUAUUUCAAGUUAUCUAUGGUUCAUACCACUUAAUACUAGCCAUAGAUGCAUCAAAAUAAGCAAACAACACACAAAAGGCAGAAUCUAUCAAAAACAUAACAGUCUGUAGCAAUCUGUAACUCUCGAAUACUUCUGGAACUCUAAAAAUCCUACCAAAAUAGGAAGUCCUGAUAAAUUUGUCUAUUGAUCUACAGAAAAAAAGAAUUAACGCAAAAUCACGUUUCUGUGAAUUAACAAAACUAUUUUCAUGCGCACAAAGUUUCUGUUUUUCAGCAGAAUCAAAUUAACUAUCACCAUAGGUUAUCCUAUAGGUUCUACUUGGCACAAACACUAAUUAAAACAUAAAAACACAUAUAAACGGAAGGUAGAUGCAAAAUUUAUUACUAAACAUAAACAAACAAAAAACACAAAUAAAAUUGGGUUGCCUCCCAACUAGCGCUAUCGUUUAACGCCCCUAGCUAGGCAUAAAAGCGAUGAUAGAUCUAAGUAGUGACAUCUUUGGCACUCAAUUCAUAAGUAGCUCGCAUGAUAGAUUCAUAAGGUAAUUUAACUUUAUUUCUUGGAAAGUGCUCCAUGCAUUUCCUUAAUGGAAAUUGGAAUCUAAUAUUCCCUUCCUUCAUAUCAAUAAUCGCACCAAUCAUUCUAAGGAAAGGUUUACCAAGAAUAAUAGGACAAGAAAGAUUGCAAUCUAUAUCAAGAACCAUAAAAUCUACGGGCACCAAAUUUCUAUUUGCAACAAUGAGAACAUUGUCGGCUCAAUAUCCGGCGUAUCUCGUAGUAGGGGUCCUAAGCUAGGCAUCUUGGAGCUAUGGUAACAUGGACACAAGAUUUUACCCAGGUUCGGGCCCUCUUGAUGGAGGUAAAACCCUACGUCCUGCUUUUGAUUGUAUUCGUGUGGGGUAUAGUACAGAGUACAUGUGUCUACCACGAGAUUGUAGUCAUGAAUAUGAGAUUGUCUAUUGACUAGCCUGACCUUGGUUUAUAUAAGACACCGAAGGCCUAGGGUUUAGGAGCGUCCUUGUCUUGGGCGCCAAGUCUUGUGGAGUCUUCCUUGUAUGCGGCAGGGGUUGUCCGAACUGGCCCAUGAGUAUACGGCCAUGGGGGUCCUCGGCCCAAUCCAACUGAUCGGGAGACGACGUGGUGAGUACCCCCUAGUCCAGGACACCAUCAAUAGCCCCCUAAACCGGUCUUCAAGUUGGGGACGCUCCUCUAUUCUUCCGAACUGUUCUUCAUCUUCGGUCGUUGGUCUUGAAAACUGGUUCAACAAAUCUUCUCAUCAUCGAUCUUGAGGAUCGCCGAAAUGCAUCCAAAGAGUUUACACGUCGGGUAUCCGAGGAGCCCCUUUAAGCUUUCGACCUUUAUCAAUGCCUUGUUUAUUUUUAUGCCACACCCCGGGUUUGGAGUUGUUCCCGGGCGGUAGUGUCCUCUUGCGUCCGAGCUCCAACGCCGGACUGCAUUCGAGGUAUCUUUAGCAGCCGAGCACCAACACCGGACCGCUUCCGAGCUCCAACGCCGGAAUGUAUCCGAGCUCCAAUGCCGGACUAUGUCCAAGCUCCAACACCGGACUAUGUCCAAGCUCCAACGCCGGACUAUAUUCGAGGUGUCAUAGUUCACCUUGGUUCAAAAAAGUUGAAGGAGUUUAGCCGAGCUUAAUGCCGGAAAUGCCCUCUAUGGAGCCAGCCACUGGCGUCCGAGCUUUAUACCGGACUGCUUCCGGGGUGUCUAUUGUAAUCGAGCACCAAUGCCGGACUGUAUCUGAGGUGGUGCACCACCUCAGCCAUGGGCUGAUUUUCAUGAAUUUAAUUCCGAAUUAUGCAAUUAAUCUCUGCCGAGAUGUAUAGCCAGUAGCCCUGAAGGUGCGUGUUGGCCUAAUAUCUGAGAUGCACCUGAAGGAAAAAAUCAAACCACUGGCCCUAGUAGCCCCUGAGACUCAGGUCGAUUCAUAAAAUCAGCCUGAGGAUCAAUUCCCAGCUCGGCAGCAUACUUAGGAAUAGAAAAGCGGUGUGCAAAGUCCUCGAGACUCAGGUUGGGUGCGGCCGACCAACCUGAGGAUAAUAAUCUCCUUGAAAACUAUAUUGCACUUUAAAUUUUCUGCAUUGGAUUGUCAAUGCACUAGCCCCCGAGACACUGGUCGGGUGGCAACACCAGAUUAGGAGAUCGAUGUGCCCUUUUAAUAUUCGUAAAUAAUAAGCCCGAAGCCUAGUAGCCCCCGAGCCUUAAUGCGGGCACGGGAGGCCGAAUUAAGGAUCGAUAUCCAUAGUAAAAUCACAAAUUAUGUGUAAUGACUCUAUGUAUCCAAGUACUUUACGUCAUUAAUGCUCGGAUCCGCAUUGUACAAAACUUUGUUGACCGACCAUCAGCUUCAACGUCCUCGGCCAGCAGCCGAGGAGUGUUUGUCCUACUUUAUAAAGCCUUUAUGAGGGCUAAGAUUUACGGCAAACAAGGCAAUCCGGCCAUACGGUUUUAUAAAUAAAGGUACGUAGAGAGACAUGUUAUAUUAUUGUUUAACAUAAGAAACAUCGUCCAAAGAAAAUAGUCCCGCUAUCGGUUCCUUUCUUUGGGUUGUCAUGCUAAGCAUGAUCAUGAAACCUCAGCUCCAAUCAAUGUGGGAGGAAAAUACUGAGGAUUUAGUUCGGGGAAAUCUUCCAAACUCUGUGGUCUAAAUGAACCAAAUUUUUACCUCCGUAGCGACCGUUUAUAAUCUGAAAGUGGCCCAUCAUCGGCUUCUACCCCCUUGUAGAUGGUACGCAGGGUGUUUCCACAAUAACAAAACAACCCUUAGCCGACGUGUCGAUGCCCGAAGGCGGUUGUGUUAGCGGAAACGAGGCAAUCAGAUAUGCGGGCUUUAUAACUUUCACUUAGUCAUAGAAGCUUAAAGUUUGGAGGCCAGCAAGUACCCCCCCNNNNNNNNNNNNNNNNNNNNNNNNNNNNNNNNNNNNNNNNNNNNNNNNNNNNNNNNNNNNNNNNNNNNNNNNNNNNNNNNNNNNNNNNNNNNNNNNNNNNNNNNNNNNNNNNNNNNNNNNNNNNNNNNNNNNNNNNNNNNNNNNNNNNNNNNNNNNNNNNNNNNNNNNNNNNNNNNNNNNNNNNNNNNNNNNNNNNNNNNNNNNNNNNNNNNNNNNNNNNNNNNNNNNNNNNNNNNNNNNNNNNNNNNNNNNNNNNNNNNNNNNNNNNNNNNNNNNNNNNNNNNNNNNNNNNNNNNNNNNNNNNNNNNNNNNNNNNNNNNNNNNNNNNNNNNNNNNNNNNNNNNNNNNNNNNNNNNNNNNNNNNGACAGCCGAGGUCAAUCCGUAAGUACUUCAGCCAAUGUUAUGAACGGCCCGUCAUUUAAUACAGUCAUCGGACCGCUGACCAGUUUACGCUUAUUGUGAUAGUCAGUUUUCGGCUUUCUCCACUGAGGUGCUUAACCAUGCAAGCUGGAAGCACAAUCGCAGUGGUUCUCCCUUUGCACACCUAGCCGAACAAAAGCGGAACGUAGGAGGUAAGCAUAGGAGCCGGGCAACCCAACUAUUGACCAAAGACACAAUUCAAAAUUGAUGCAUAUAUAGCAAUAUCCGAGAAUUUUUGCCGAAUCUCUAAAGGUGUCUGGCGCUGCACUGCGAGACUUAUGCGGAAAACACACAAAUAGUUGAAAAGUGCCAUAGGAUUGGAAAACCAAAAAACGUCAGUAAAAACUCGACGUCCAAACUAGAUCAAUUGUUCGGUGCCAAUCAGAAAAUUGGUCUUAGAAAAAAAAUUGUGCUUCUAUCGUGCUUUAACAUGACACACCCUAUCUCAAGACUUCAAGCGGGUCAGCCUACGGCUUCAACCUCCUAUCCCGAAGGCGAAGUACUUCUUGUAAGGCCAGUUUAGCAAACUUUAGCGGCUUUGAGAGAGAAAAUAGGCUCCCUGGCUAUUGACCACACACUGCGUCGAAAAAAGGAGUGAUAGAAAAAAGACUUUGCAACGACUAAGAAGAAGAACACUUAUCAUAAAACAGCUCGCAUAAAUUUAAGAGCCCCUGAGUGACUUGGGUAAAAGAAUUUUAUGUAUAAUGAUUGUAUGUACCGAAGUACUUAUAUCAUAUAUGUGUUUACCCGAACUUUAAACGCGUCUUAACCGACCAUCGGCUUCUCCCUCUUCGGCCAAGGGCCGAAAAGUGUUAUGUACUCGACCCAUCGAGAAUAUAGACGAUGUUUCCGAUAACCAGGCAAUCAGGCCGUAAGGCUGUAACAGACAAAGCGCGCUCAGGGAACUUAUGCUAUAUUACUGAUGAAGUGUAAGAAGCAUCUUCGAAGAAAAUAGUACCCCCACCGAUACCUUUCUUCGGUUGCUCAUUGUUACUAUGAGACUUGUGCAAUAGAUUUUUUGUACUGAUGAGUUCCGUUGUGUGUCGGCCAUAAUUGAAAACAAUAAGAGCGCUAGCUUUCGGCUUCACUCGGUCUGAGGUCAGAGCUCGGAGGACCCGGUCGUGACAAUCGCAGAGGUGCUCCCUUUACUCCCUAGACGAACAAUCGGAAACGUAGGGGUAAGCACAGAGCGAGGCAACCCAGCUUGCGGAACACUUAAGUCAAUAUGGUGCAUAUUGUGGCGUAAUACACAGAUAAGGAACGAAGCUGUACAAGUAUAAUCAUAUGGAAGAGGAAAUGCUCCAUAAAGGAAGCCCCCGUUUAAAUGGGGUAUUUGAAUUUGUGUGUCACAAACAAGGUUUCGACAAGAAAGUUUUUCACAGGCAACUUUUUGCCAAAAAAGUAUAAUGCUUGGUCGAACCGAACAAAAUUUAAAACUGGGAGUUUUUGAGCAUGAAAGCGACUUAGCUGGUUAAUGUGUUCGACAUUGAUGACGCGGUCCGAGCUUGGUGCGGGACAAGGUCUCAGCCCCCAAGCCCGAUGUGGCUGAGCGAAGAGCUCGGCACUCCGAAGAGGCGAAGCCCCCAGUCUAGCUGAGGUGAUGGAGCAGGUCGCCGGAUGACACUGGAGUCUCCGGCCGAGUAGGUUGAUGAAGCGAUGAUGCGGGGUUGCCAACACAGGGCAGCACUCCAAGGCGACGACACAAUUCGGUCGAUGGAGAUGGGCGAUGUGGACACCAUGCCGAGGGGAUAGUGCGGCCCGAUCUAAGUCAAUUGCCUGCACAGGUAAAAUAGUGCAAGCCAGAGAUAAUAAUAAUAUUUAUUUAUUUACAUAAAGAAUCCUCUACUUAAUGAAUUUAAGUAAAGUAAAUAAUUAAAAAAAUAUGGCCUGAACGCCAAGGUCCUCCCGACAGAGUUGUCGCGUAGAUGUUGACACAGGGACGCGCGCUGAGGCGACGCCACAACUUGAUCAAUGCAGGCAGGACGACAGCGUUGGCCCAUAGAAUUGACCGCAUGACGUGGUCGAGUUGAUUGCCUACACACGUAGAAUAGUGCAAGCAAGUAACAAUAAUAAUUGAAAGAAAAAAAAUUCUUUGCAUAAUUAAGUUUACGCAAAGUAGAUAAAAGAAACAUAGCCUGCGCCUAGGUCAAUGAAGACGGAGGAGUGACGACGUAUUUUUUGUAGGGAAGAUCCUGUUGCAGAUACGGCGCUCGCCAGACUGCGGACAAAAAAAAUCCACAUCCAAGCGAUGAUGAAGCGCUAGUGCAGGGCUAGUUUGCAUUGUUUGUUAAUUAGAUCUUUAAAAACCGUGAUGCAAAAAUCCCUGGAUGGCCGCAACCCUUGCCGGAGUGUCUCAAGACUGCGUCGGGCCGAUCAAUAUAUGGAACGGCCGAUCUGAACAUGAAUCUUGGUCUGACGAAGGUUCUGACGCGUGGGUCGGCUCACCCGAUUGACGCAGACAGAAAACAUUUGUACAAAUGUCAGCAAAAUAUUUCUGCAAAAAAUAAUACAGUACAACCAACAGAGAGAUAUCCCGCGUGUAACAACUUAUGUGCUAAAUAAUAGCUAAGAAAAAUAAAACAUGCUUGAUCCGACGACUGUAACAGACCCGAGCUAUAGCAAGAUCAAAGCAAAUAACAGAAAAACUGGUCCGAAUUGAACUAGCACCAGACCGUAUUGAUCUUUUCAAGAAAUAGUACUAAUUGAACUAGUAGUAUUUACCAAUACGUGGAGUGGAGUGGUGUGUGUAGCCCAGAUCUUGAAGACCGUGCUUGGAAAAGAAGUACUUAGAUGUGUUAAGAUGAUACUAUCGGUUUGCACUUUUCAGAGAAAGGUAGCAGACAACCUACGACCGAAUUGGGAGCUGAAUUAAAAAAGAAGGAAAGGAAUCUUCCUAAUUUGCUCCAACGAGCUAAAGUCUGGUCUACCGACGCGCAAAGCCGAAUUCAUCUCGGCCCUGUUGUACACUUCCACGGAAGUACUAUGCAUACGUACUCUCCUCGGGAGAAACGCCAUUAUUAGAUCGCCGUACACAAUUUCUUCUGCAUUGACCUAGAUCAAGUCCGCAAACGCGGACGCUUCUGAGAUUCGACAUACUGCCCGAUGACGGACACACAGCCGCCGCUAUGUUAUUUUGAUCCCGAUCUGCCUGUAGGCAAAGUAGUACGACACGACAGCAAUGAUUUUGCAAAAAAGAUCAUCUAUAUGAAACUGAUCUUACUGAAAAAACAUCACCUGAUCAUCCCAUCGAUCCACGACAAACACCCAGCAGGCUCUCAAUAAAAGCACCAAUGUCGGUUCAAUAUCCGGCGUAUCUCGUAGUAGGGGUCCUAAGCUAGGCGUCUUGGAGCUAUGGUAAAAUGGGCACAGGAUUUUAGCCAGGUUCGGGCCCUCUUGAUGGAGGUAAAACCCUACGUCUUGCUUUUGAUUGUAUUCAUGUGGGGUAUAAUACAGAGUACAUGUGUCUACCACGAGAUUGUAGUCAUGAAUAUGAGAUUGUCUAUUGACUAGUCUGGCCUCGGUUUAUAUAAGACACCGAAGGCCUAGGGUUUAGGAGAGUCCUUGUCUUGGGCGCCAAGUCUUGUGGAGUCUUCCUUGUAUGCGGCAGGGGUUGUCCGAACUGGCCCAUGAGUAUACGGCCAUGGGGGUCCUCGGCCCAAUCCAACUGAUCGGGAGACGACGUGGUGAGUACCCCCUAGUCCAGGACACCGUCAAACAUCAUUGAUCCUUCCCAUUGGCUUUUUAAUAGUGGAAUCCGCAAGGUGCAAAUUUAAAGAGCAAUCAUCAGAUCAUGGAAACCUAGAAUAUCACAUAAAGUUUUCGGAAUCGUGGAAACACUAGCACCCAAAUCACAUAAAGCAAAACACUCAGGAUCUUUAAUUUUAAUCUUUAUAGUGGGUUCCCACUCAUCAUUAAGUUUUCUAGGUAUAGAAACUUUCAAAUUAAGUUUUUCAUCAUAAGAUUGCAUCAUGGCAUCAACAAUAUGUUUGGUAAAAGCUUUAUUUUGAUUAUAAGCAUGAGGAGAAUUCACAAUGGAUUGCAACAAGGAAAUACAAUCUUCUAAAGAACAAUUAUCAUAAUUAAAUUCUUGAAAUCCAAGAUAGUGGGUUCAAUGCUAUUUAAAGUCUUGACCUCUCCAAUCCCACUUUUACCAAUUUUAGCAUGAAGAUCUAAAAACUCCGAAUCAUUGGGACGUCUUCUAACUAAAGUUGACUCAUCUCCAAUCCCAUUAUUAUUAAGAUUCAUAUUGCAAAACAAAGAUCUAAUAGGGGACACAUCAAUAACUUCAAGAUCUUCAUCAUUAUUUUCAUGGAACUAGAAGAACACGCCUUUAUAAAGCCAUCUUUCUUAGCACACAAUCUAGCGGUUCUUUCUUUGCACUCAUCAAUGGAAAUUCUCAUAGCUUUGAGAGACUCAUUGAUAUCAUGCUUAGGAGGAGUAGAUAUAAGUUUCAAAGAAUCAACAUCAAGCGAGAGUCUAUCGAAGUUCCUAGUCAAAUAAUCAACUUUGAGGAAUUUUUCUUCAAGCAAGGCAUUAAAAUUCUUUUGAGAAAUCAUAAAUUCUUUCACACUAUUCUCAAAAUCAGAGGGAAUCUUAUUAAAAUUACCAUAAGAAUUAUUGUAGGAAUUUCCAUAAUUAUUAGAGGAAUUACUAGGGAACGGUCUAGGAUUAAAGUUUCCUCUAUAAGCAUUCUUUCCGAAACUAUUCCUACCAACAAAAUUCACAUCCAUAGAUUCAUUAUUAUUCUCAAUCAAAGUAGACAAAGGCAUAUCAUUGGGAUCAAUAGGAGCACUCUUAGUAGCAAACAAGUUCAUAAGUUCAUCCAUCUUUCCACUCAAAACAUUAAUUUCUUCUAUAGCAUGCACUUUUUUACUAGUAGAUCUUUCGGUGUGCCAUUGAGAAUAAUUAGCCAUAAUAUUAUCAAGGAGUUUUGUAGCUUCUCCUAAGGUGAUUUCCAUAAACGUGCCUCCCGUGGCCGAAUCUAAAAGAUUUCUAGACGCAAAAUUCAAUCCGGCAUAAAAUUUUUGUAUGAUCAUCCAUAAAUUCAAACCAUGAGUAGGGCAAUUGCGAAUCAUCAAUUUCAUUCUUUUCCAAGAUUGGGCAACAUGCUCAUGAUCAAGUUGUUUAAAAUUCAUAAUAUUGUUUCUAAGAGUGAUAAUCUUAGCGGGAGGAAAAUACUUAGAGAUAAAAGCAUCUUUGCACUUGUUCCAUGAAUCAAUACUAUUUUUAGGCAAAGACGAAAACCAAACUUUAGCAUGAUCUCUAAGUGAAAACAGAAAUAACUUCAAUUUAACAAUAUCAUUAUACGUAUAUUUCUUCUUUUGCAUCUCACACAAAUCAACAAAGUUGUUUAGAUGGGUAGCGACAUCUUCACUAGGAAGGCCAGCGAAUUGAUCUUUCAUAACAAGAUUCAGCAAAGCAGUAUUGAUUUCACAAGACUCAACAUCAUUAAGAGGAGCAAUCAGAGUACUAAGGAAAUCAUUAUUAUUGGUAUUGGAGAAAUCACACAAUUUGGUAUUAUCUUGCGCCAUGGCGACAGGUAAUCCAACACACAAGCAAACAAAAUGGUAAGCGAAAGAGAGAGAGGAGAUUGGGAAAGAGAGGGCGAAUAAAACGACAAGGGUGAAGUGGGGAGAGGAAAACGAGAGGCACAUGGCAUAUAAUGUAAAUGCAAGGGAGAUGAGUUUGUGAUGGGUACUUGGUAUGUCUUGACUUGAGCGAAGACCUCCCAGGCAACGGCGCCAGAAAUCCUUCUUGCUACGUCUUGAGCUUGCGUUGGUUUUCCUUGAAGAGGAAAGGGUGAUGCAGCAAUAGUAGCGUAAGUAUUUCCCUCAGUUCUUGAGAACCAAGGUAUCAAUCCAGUAGGAGGCUCCUCAAAAGUCCCACGCACCUACACAAACAAACAAAGAACUCGCAACCAACGCAAUAAAGGGGUUGUCAAUCCCUUCACGGCCACUUGUGAAAGUGAGAUCUGAUAGAGAUAAUAUGAUAAGAUAAAUAUAUUUUUGGUAUUUUAAAUAUAGAUAGGAAAAGUAAAGAUGCAAAUAAAAGUAGAUUGAAAGCUUAUAUGAUAAAAGAUAGACCCGAGUGCCAUAGGUUUCACAAGUGGCUUCUCUCAAGAUAGCAUAAGUAUUACAGUGGGUGAACAAAUUACUGUCGAGCAAUUGAUAGAAAAGCGAAUAAUUAUGAGAUUAUCUAGGCAUGAUCAUGCAUAUAGGCAUCACGUGCACGUCCGUGAGAAGUAGACCAACUCCUGCCUACAUCUACUACUAUUACUCCACACAUCGACCGCUAUCCAGCAUGCAUCUAGAGUAUUAGGUUCAUAAAGAACAGAGUAACGCAUUAAGAAAGAUGACAUGAUGUAGAGGGAUAAACUCAUGCAAUAUGAUAUAAACCCCAUCUUUUUAUCCUCGAUGGCAACAAUACAAUACGUGCCUUGCUGCCCCUGCUGUCACUAGGAAAGGACACCGCAAGAUUGAACCCAAAGCUAAGCACUUCUCCCAUUGCAAGAAAGAUCAAUCUAGUAGGCCAAACCAAACUGAUAAUUCGAAGAGACUUGCAAAGAUAACUCAAUCACACAUAAAAGAAUUCAGAGAAGAUUCAAAUAUUUCUCAUAGAUAAACUUGAUCAUAAACCCACAAUUCAUCGGAUCUCGAUAAAGACACCGCAAAAAGAGUUACAUGGAAUAGAUCUCCAAGAAGAUCAAGGAGAACAUGGUAUUGAGAUCCAAAGAGAGAGAAGAAGCCAUCUAGCUAAUAACUAUGGACCCGAAGGUUUGUGUUAAACUACUCACAACUCAUCGGAGGGGCUAUGGUGUUGAUGUAGAAGCCCUCCAUGGUCGAUUCCCCCUCCGGCAGAGCGCCGGCGAAGGCUCCAAGAUGGGAUCUCGUGGAUAUAGAAGGUUACGGCGGUGGAAAUAGGUUUUCGUGGCUUGUUCUGAUGUUCUCGGGGUACGUGGGUAUAUAUAGGAGGAAGAAGUAGGUUGGUGGCCGCCCGAGGGGCCCACGAGAUAGGGGGCAUGCCCAGUAGGGGGGAGGGGCGCCCUCCACCCUCGUGGCUGCCUCGGCUACUUCUUGACUUGCACUCCAAGUCCUCUGGAUCACGUUCGUUCCAAAAAUCAUGCUCCCGAAGGUUUCAUUCCGUUUGGACUCCGUUUGGUAUUCCUUUUCUUCGAAAUACUGAAUUAGGCAAAAAAAUAGCAAUACGGGCUGAGCCUCCGGUUAGUAGGUUAGUCCCAAAAAUGAUAUAAAAUUGUAAAGUAAAGCCCAUAAACAUCCAAAACGUGUAAUAUAAUAGCAUGGAACAAUCAAAAAUUAUAGAUACGUUGGAGACGUAUCAACCUUCCCAGUCACCAGCGGAGCAAUCUCAGCAAUUCGAAUUCCAUUGACCCAUCUAUCGUUCCAAAACAGCACUCGGUUCCCAUCUCCAACUUUCUAGUGAACCAAACUGGCAAACGCAGCCCGCAUCUCUUUGUCAGCGGACAUGGCCAGACCGUGCCACGGCUUUGAGGUAUCUGUUCACCUGAGCCAUUCCCAUCUAAGGUGGAGAGCGAUGCCAUGCAUACGUAGAUCGAUGACGCCCAAUCCCCCAACUCCUUCGGCCGACAGACACGCUUCCAGGCUACCAGACACUUGCCCCCAUGUAUCUUUUCUGAACCAGCCCAGAAAAAGGCUUUACAUCCUCUAUCAAUUCUAUCUAGCGCCCACUUCGGAGCAUCCGCCACAAUCAGAUGGUGAAUAGGCCUCACCCUAACCACACUACUGACAAGAAUCAGUCUGCCCGGCCUGGUUAUCAUACCUCGCAUCCAUCCUGGUAGGAAGUUCAGCACCACAUCCACCAGCGGCUGCCAUUGGUUACAGUUGAGUUGCUUAAUCAAAAGAUGGAGCCCUAGAUAUUUGCACAAAAAACCAUGAUUCUUCCAAGGGAGAGCAGCUGCGACUCUCUCCGUGUCUCCCUCGCCAGGUCUAAUAAGGAUCGCCAAAGUUUUUUGGUAGUUGAUUUUCAGCCCCGACGCCUAUCCAAAGAUGUGCAUCACCUACUUUACAAACUCAAGGUCCAAGGCAGUCGGUCUGAUGAAUAAGACCACAUCAUCCGUGUAGAUAGAUAGCCACUAUAGCAGAGUGCAUCCGGGCAUUGGGCUAAGAACUCCCAUCUGUUGAGCACGGAUGAUAAGGGCCGAGAGAGCAUCCAUUGCAAUAACAAAUAGAAGAGGUGAAAUUGGGUCCCCUUGCCUCAGCCCACAAGCGUGAAUGAUUUUCUUAUACAGUGCUUCAUGCGGUGUUAUUCUGAGUGCUUCUUUUUCCUUUUCAUCCAUGCAUAGGAUCUGACCACCGUACACCAUUAUGCAUUGGACUCCACAGGUGCUUGAGCCAGUGCUAGCGAGACAGUUAGGCCAACUCCAGAGCGCGACCUCAUCCUAUCCGGAUGCGUCCGUUUGGGGUAGAACGGAUGAAUAGCGCGACCCAACACGCGGCCCUAAACGGACAAAUGUCCGGAUUCCGUCCGUUUUCGACCCAUCCCUGACACAAACUUGCGUCAAGUUUUAGGUGAAACGGACAUCGCGUGGACGGGCUCGACGCACGCUGUCACAUCCCUAGUUCUGUUAUGCUCUGGGAUAGCUAGUCAUGUGUUGCAUCAUGUUUAAAUUCUAUUUAAGGUUAAAUGGGGACGUUCAAACCCUAGCAGAUAAUAUUUUCAACUAGGUUCAAGUUUAAAUCUUUUCAAUGAACCCGAAAUGCCCUUUGGAAAAGUUCAUGAUUUUUGAUAAAGGUGAAAACCUCUGGCAAAAAUGAUGCACAUAUUUCUAGCCCAUUUCUGGACUCUUGAAUUAAAUCAUUAUGUAUUUGAAUUUGGGCAUUUAAUUGCUAUUACAAUUUUUAAAUGCUCAAAUAAUUCUGAAACUAAAUGUGGGUUGUUGGAAAUAAUACAACAGGUCCUCGCAAUUUAUUUCAGGUUUUUAUAUGUGGUUUAGUAUUUUUACUAAAUCAAAGAAAACAAAAAGCAAAUAGAAAACAGAAACAAAAAUUAAAAGAGAGACAGAGUUUUACCUGGAGCUUACCUGGCAGCCCAGCCGGCCCAGCACUAUAGCUGAGGCCCAGCCCACCAGGGCGAAGCGGUCGUCUUCAACCUCUGCCAGUAGGCAGAGGCGUGUCGACACCAGCGCGUCCGAGGCCUCCACCUCCUCCCUGCCUACCUGGCCUCCCCGUGCCCGUCCUCUCGUCGACAGGAGGCGUGCUGGACCCCUUUGUCCAUUCCCCCCUCUCUGGACCUCCUCCCCCUUCUCUGUUCUCUCUUCCACGGCCGCCCGAACAAGCGGAGUGUGCCAUCACAAAACACCGCGCCCACCGCCGUCCCCUUGCCCCGUGGCUGUGAUCCUGAGCUCCUCCUAGGCCCCAAGAACCUCUACGCCAACCCACUCAAUCCCGGAUGACCCCAAGAUGGCGCUACGGCUUUUCUUCCCCGUCCACGGCCGCCGAAUGCCGUCGCCCGAUUCGCCAUCUUCAACGUGCCCCCAAGCCCGCUUCGACGCCCCUGCAACCUCAGUGAGCCAUUACGCCGAACCCCUCUCUCCUCGUGUUCGAUUGCCCUCUCUAGCCGUCGCCUCCAUCGGGCUCGAGACCUCACUGCCGCCGUCCAUGGUGCCAUCAUGGUUGCUGACACCAUAGCUCGCGUUCAAGCAUGCCACUGAACUCCUGGAGUUCCCAGGAGCCCAUAGAGCUUUUUAGCCAGCCUCUCUGUGCACCAUAGUGCCGCUCGCGUCAAGCAUGUGGCUCCGACCGUCGCCCGGGUACCCGCCGUCGUCGACUCCGGGCACCCCGCGACCUGCUGCCGCCUUUGCUAGAUGCGCUGGCGCACGAGCUACCUCCAGGUGCCUUUCUCCG
rnacentral:lncRNA from 1 species